rnacentral:rRNA from 1 species
UACGUAGGACCCAAGCGUUAUCCGGAUUGAUUGGGCGUAAAGAGUUGCGUAGGUGGUUUGUUAAGCGAAUAGUGAAAUCUUGUGGCUCAACCAUAAGGCUAUUAUUCGAACUGGCAAACUCGAGAACAGGAGAGGUAUCUGGAAUUCCCAGUGUAGGAGUAAAAUCCGUAGAUAUUGGGAGGAACACCAAUGGCGUAGGCAGGAUACUGGACUGUUUCUGACACUAAGGCACGAAAGCGUGGGGAGCGAACUGG